rnacentral:rRNA from 1 species
UACGUAGGUGGCAAGCGUUUGUCCGGAAUUAUUGGGCGUAAAGCGCGCGCGAGGCGGCCUCUUAAGUCUGAUGUGAAAGCCCCCGGCUCAACCGGGGAGGGCCAUUGGAAACUGGGAGGCUUGAGUAUAGGAGAGAAGAGUGGAAUUCCACGUGUAGCGGUGAAAUGCGUAGAGAUGUGGAGGAACACCAGUGGCGAAGGCGGCUUUUUGGUCUGUAACUGACGCUGAGGCGCGAAAGUGUGGGGAGCGAACAGG